CUUCCUCCGUUUCAUAAUGUAAGUCAUUCUAGCAUUUCCCACAUUCAUAUUGAUGUUAAUGAAUGUGGGAAAUGCUAGAAUGACUUACAUUGUGAAACGGAGGGAGUACU
rnacentral:misc_RNA from 1 species